rnacentral:snRNA from 1 species
GUGCUUGCUUCAGCAGCACAUAUAUUAAAACUGGAGUGAUAGAGAAGAUUAGCACAGCCCCUGUAUAAGGAUGACUUUCAAAUUCAUAAGGUAUUCCACAUUUUU